rnacentral:rRNA from 1 species
UGCGGAGGGAUCAUUACUGAGUUAGGGAGCAAUCCCGACCUCCAACCCUUUGUGAACGCAUCAUGUUGCUUGGGGGGUGACGCUGUCAUAUCUUCGGAUAUGUCUGGCCCCCCCCGGCCAUCAAAACACUGCAUUCUUACGUCGGAGUAAAAAGUUAAUUUAAUAAAACUUUCAACAACGGAUCUCUUGGUUCUGGCAUCGAUGAAGAACGCAGCGAAAUGCGAUAAGUAAUGUGAAUUGCAGAAUUCAGUGAAUCAUCGAAUCUUUGAACGCACAUUGCGCCCCCUGGUAUUCCGGGGGGCAUGCCUGUUCGAGCGUCAUUUCACCACUCAAGCCUCGCUUGGUAUUGGGCGUCGCGAGUCUCUCGCGUGCCUCAAAGUCUCCGGCUGUCUUGAUUCAAUUCCCAGCGUUGUGGCAACUAUUUCGCAGUGGAAACGAGUCAAAGUGGCCGUUAAAUCUUUCAAAGGUUGACCUCGGAUCAGGUAGGGAUACCCGCUGAACUUAAGCAUAUCAAUAAGCGGAG